CUUGGAUCGAUGAUGAGUCCCCUAUAAAAACAUUCCUUGGAAAAGCUGAACAAAAUGAGUGAGAACUCAUAACGUCAUUCUCAUCGGAACUGAGGUCCAGCAUGUUGCUUCCUCUGGGGCCUGUAGGAGUGAGGGACAACUUCCACUGAUUCCCAUAGGUUCCACCACCCAGGGCAUCCACAGACAAAAGUCUCGUGUCACAGGCACGUUAGGAACAUUCCCUCUGUGUGAGGUACAUGGGUGGGAGAGUGAUGGGGGAUUCGGCCGCUCUGUGAUGGCGUGGUGGCCGUGGAAGCAGGCAGAAAUGUUGCAGGCCUAGGGGAAGUGGAAAUGUUGCCAGCACAGGGGUGUGUGCUACUGGUAAGCUCCCAGAAGGAAGACCCGGACCUCACAGUGGUCAUCUCAGUGCAGAAGACCAGGUGUCUGUUUUCAUGUCGAGGAGAGCCCAAGGCCCAGACCUCAGGCAGACCUUGGUGUUGAUUUUUGAUUAGUUGAGAACAGGGGAGUGCCAAGGUGUUAGGGGAGAGUGCAGAGCAAUAGGUGUCGGGGCAAACAGUGAAAGCCUCUUCAGCCUACCCUGCAGCAUUGGUCACCAGGAGCCCUCCUGGAAGGGAUUUCUUUGCCUCCUGAGCUGUGAGAUGCCUGUGGUGCAGUGGCAGAGGCCUAGGUACGCCUCACCUGAGAGGGCGGCUAGAGACAGUGUCUGCUCAGGACAUCAGAUGUCCCGUGAGGAGGAGUGUGUACUCACACCAGGGGAGUUGACUGAGGCAGUUGCUGUGGGAGGUGUGGUAACUGCUGGAAGGAAGAUGCUCAAUUCUUCUGAGCAACGAAGGCCACACGGAGUCCUGGAUUCUGUGUGGCCUGGCAUCCAUGGCGCACUGUGUGCUGGCAGGUGGCUCAGGACGGUAAGCAUUUCUCUGCCCAGUAUGCUGAAUGAGGGUGUCUUUCGGAUUUCCAAGACCCGCAAGGAGCAGUUUCUCAGCUAACCACUAAUGGCAUGGCGAGUUCCUCUCCUAGAGUGGAUAGUCUGUGCUCAUUGCUCAGUGGCAUCGCUCUAGUGGGGCCGAAGGUCUUUAAGGUCAUUGGCUCACCCACUGCCCAGCCUGUGGUGUCAAAUAUCCUGCCCCUUGCCCCUUCAAAUGUGCUUGGAUCGAUGAUGAGUCCCCAAAAAAAACAUUCCUUGGAAAAGCUGAACAAAAUGAGUGAAAACUCAUACCGUCAUUCUCAUCGGAACUGAGGUCCAGCACGUUGCCUUCCCCGGGGACUGUAGGAGUGAGGGACAACUUCCACUGAUUCCCAUAGGUUCCACCACCCAAGGCAUCCACAGCCAAAGUCUCCCAUCAAAUGCUCAUUAGGAACAUUCCCUUUUUGUGAGGUACACAGGUAGGAGAGUCCUGGGGGGAACGGCUGCUCUGUGAUGGCCUGGUGGCCAUGGAAGCAGACAGAAAUAUCGCAGGCCUAGGGUAGUGUGCGCCUGAUCUUGGCUUGGUGAGCUCCUAGGAAGGGAGACGCGGACCUCGUGGCAGGCGUCUCUGAGCAGAGGACUGAGUCCUUGUUUUCUUGCCGGGGAGAGCACAAGGCCCAGGCCUCAGGCAGAUGUUGGUCCUGAUUUUUGAUUAGCUGAGGACAAGGGAGUGCCAAGGGUGAUGGGGGACAGUGUAUAACAAAGGGUGUUGUGACAGAGAGCCAAAGCCUCUUUGGCCCUCCACCCAGCAUCCAGUCAUGGAGGCCCCCCAGCAGGGAUUUCUUCAUCCCCUGAGCCGUGAGAUGCCCCUGGUGCUAUGGUGGAAGCCUGGACUGGAAGGUACUCCACAGAAGAGGUGGUAGGGGGCUUAUGUGGACAUGUGUGUCAUCAGCAGUCUUGGGCUGUUGUUCAGCGUUGAUGGGCUUUCCAUUUAUUUCUCUAGUGGAUGACAAGUUGGCCAGCAGAGGUGUCAGAGGGCAGGUUCCAGGGAAUACAAGGGUCAGACUUGUGCUCCUGGCCCUUGGUCACUUCUCGUCUUCCUGACAGAGUAGUGGGCUCCACUGUUGGGCACAUCUUCCUGGAAGUCGUCUCUUGGCCCGCCAUUGCCGAGCGGCCACACCUGCUGCAGCUCGUGUGAGCAAAUAUGGCUCUGGAUCCUCUUUCCUGCUUUGAAAGCAGCUUCCAUCCUGAAGGCGUCCAGAGGGGGCAGUUAUCAUGGGACACCCGCCAUAUGCUGGCAAGGAAGAUGGUCAGUUCUUCUGAGCCACAAAGGCCCCCAACAUCCUGGAGUUGGUGUUGCCUAGCAUCCACGGUGCGCCCCCUGCUGGUGGAUGGCUCAGGAUGGUAAGCAUUCCUCCGCCGCACAUGCUGAGUGGGGGUGGGAUUUCCAAGACCUGCAAGGAGCUGUUUCUCAGCAGGCCACUGAUGGCAUGGCGAGUUCCACUCCUAAAGUGAACGGUCUGUGCCCAUUGUUCAGUGGUGCAGCUCUGGCUUCCCCAGCGUGCGGAGGGUUUUUAAGGUCAUCGGCUUGCCCACUGCCCAGCCUGUGGUGUCAAAUAUCCUGCCCCUUCAAAUGUGCUUGGAUCGAUGAUGAGUCCCCCAUAAAAACAUUCCUUGGAAAAGCUGAACAAAAUGAGUGAGAACUCAUACCGUCGUUCUCAUCGGAACUGAGGUCCA
ensembl:lncRNA SNHG14 small nucleolar RNA host gene 14